ensembl:snRNA U6 U6 spliceosomal RNA
ACGAUAUUUUCAGCAUAUAUACUAAAAUUGGAACAAGAUGGAGAGAUUAGCAUGGCUCCUGUGCAAAGAUGGCAUGCAAAUUCAUGAAGCGUUCUAUAUGUUU